rnacentral:rRNA from 1 species
GAGAGGGUGAUCCCCCACACUGGUACUGAGACACGGACCAGACUCCUACGGGAGGCAGCAGUGAGGAAUAUUGGACAAUGGGUGAGAGCCUGAUCCAGCCAUCCCGCGUGAAGGACGACGGCCCUAUGGGUUGUAAACUUCUUUUGUAUAGGGAUAAACCUAGAUACGUGUAUCUAGCUGAAGGUACUAUACGAAUAAGCACCGGCUAACUCCGUGCCAGCAGCCGCGGUAAUACGGAGGGUGCAAGCGUUAUCCGGAUUUAUUGGGUUUAAAGGGUCCGUAGGCUGAUUUGUAAGUCAGUGGUGAAAUCUCACAGCUUAACUGUGAAACUGCCAUUGAUACUGCAAGUCUUGA